AUGGAUUCCAUCAUGGCUAACGGGACAUGGGAGAUCACUGACCGUCCCUAUGGUUGCAAACCACUGGGAUGUAAGUGGGUGUUCAAAAAGAAGCUUAGGCCCGAUGGUUUCGUUGUUAAUGAGGCUGACAAAUGUGUAUACUAUCGCCAUGGUGGGGGCGAAGGAGUUAUACUGUGCUUGUAUGUUGAUGACAUACUGAUAUUCGGAACAAAUCUCAAAGUCAUUGAGGAUGUCAAAUCGUUUCUAUCUCAGAACUUUGAUAUGAAAGACCUUGGUGUGGCUGAUGUUAUCUUGAACAUCAAGCUACUGAGAGAUAAUGAGGGUGGGAUCACACUUCUGCAAUCCCAUUACGUUGAGAAGGUGUUGAGUCGUUUUGGAUAUUCGGACUGUACUAUGAACUAUGGACUUCACUAUACCGGAUACCCAUCGGUACUUGAAGGGUAUAGUGAUGCGAAUUGGAUCUCUGAUGCUGAUGAGAUGAAGGCCACAACUGGGUAUAUGUUUACUCUUGGAGGUGGCGCUGUUUCCUGGAAGUCUUGCAAGCAAACGAUCUUAACGAGAUCGACAAUGGAAGCAGAAUUAACGGCAUUAGACACAUCUAGUGUUGAAGCGAGAUGGCUUCGAGAUCUUUUGAUGGACUUGCCAUUGGUUGAUAAACCGGUUCCGGCUAUCCUUAUGAACUGUGACAAUCAGACUGUCAUCACCAAGGUGAAGAGUUCAAAGGACAACAUGAAG
rnacentral:rRNA from 1 species